UACGGUGGGUGCAAGCGUUGUUCGGAAUUACUGGGCGUAAAGGGCUCGUAGGUGGCCAACUAAGUCGGACGUGAAAUCCCUCGGCUUAACCGGGGAACUGCGUCCGAUACUGGUUGGCUUGAGUUUGGGAGAGGGAUGCGGAAUUCCAGGUGUAGCGGUGAAAUGCGUAGAUAUCAGGAGGAACACCGGUGGCGAAGGCGGGUCUCUGGGCCGAUACUGACGCUGAGGAGCGAAAGCGUGGGGAGCGAACAGG
rnacentral:rRNA from 1 species